rnacentral:rRNA from 1 species
GAUGAACGCUGGCGGCGUGCCUAAUACAUGCAAGUCGAGCGAACGGACGAGAAGCUUGCUUCUCUGAUGUUAGCGGCGGACGGGUGAGUAACACGUGGAUAACCUACCUAUAAGACUGGGAUAACUUCGGGAAACCGGAGCUAAUACCGGAUAAUAUUUUGAUCCGCAUGGUUCAAAAGUGAAAGACGGUCUUGCUGUCACUUAUAGAUGGAUCCGCGCUGCAUUAUCUAGUUGGUAAGGUAACGGCUUACCAAGGCAACGAUGCAUAGCCGACCUGAGAGGGUGAUCGGCCACACUGGAACUGAGACAAGGUCCAGACUCCUACGGGAGGCAGCAGUAGGGAAUCUUCCGCAAUGGGCGAAAGCCUGACGGAGCAACGCCGCGUGAGUGAUGAAGGUCUUCGGAUCGUAAAACUCUGUUAUUAGGGAAGAACAUAUGUGUAAGUAACUGUGCACAUCUUGACGGUACCUAAUCAGAAAGCCACGGCUAACUACGUG